UUACACUUAAUUAUCCUUCCUUAGUCAUUUCUUCAAAUUCAUUGCAACCCAUCCAAAGGACCCAAGUUUUGGUGAUAUCAUUUCAGCCAUCUCCAAUUCCUCUAUGACCCAUUCCAUUUUAAUUAAUUUCAGAUAACCCAACUCCUUAUAUCUCCCCGUCCGGCCCAUUUUUGCUUUCUUUUCCCUUCACGAAGAAACCCAGCAUGAGUAUCGCAGCGACAACAAUGACCAAACGACAUCCUCACAGCCUUGAAUUGCAACAAUAUGGAGCGUCGAAAUUUGUGGGAAAGCAAUAGCUUUUUGCAUCGUCUUCCUCACCGCUCAUACAACAGUAUUUGGGCGAGUUGUACAACAAAAAAGGCUGCCAUUUCGUCCUAGCAGCUGCGAGGUUGUGCCACAUAGAAAGGGAAGGACGUUUGAAUCGAUCAAAAACGUUCAUUCCUCUUUCCUCUUCCGGAAUGGGGUUGAUAGCUUCAGAAAAUUCCGCUUGAGGUUCAAAUUUGUGGUGGAAGUUUCCAGAAAUUCAUCGUCUCUGGUUCACUGCCCAGGAAAAGGUAAAUCCAUUUGUUUUUUUACUUUAACUCGUUGAUCAGUCGUUUGUUUUUCUGCAAGCUAGAGUAUCCUGUUGAUUCUUCUAUUUCUUUUUGUUUGGUUACUACCGUCCAUGACUUAUUGCUAAUGGUUUGAUGAAAGUCUGUCGGGUUUCAAGUAGAAUAUUUUUAGUUUAUUAAUGUAAGAAAUGAAUCCAUCAUACGAGUUGCCCGUCUUAAAAUAUCUAUGGAGGCUAGGAAUGAAAGGUCAGUCUGUUUGCUUUCGUUUUUCAUGAGAAUUCACUCGUUUGUUUGUUCACUAUUGGGAUUGCUCUUGGAAUAUUUCGAGUAUCGUGAUUUUAAUUUGUUUAAUCGAGAAUAUGGUUUAAGUAUGUACAUGUGGGAUGCGUAUGCUUUGAAUUAUUAUUAUUUUUUAUUUUUUAGUCUGCAAAGCGUUACUUCCCAACUUACUCUCAUGUGUUCAUGGCUAUAUUUUAAUUGUUUUCAAAUCACUAUGCUCAUCUUAGGCAUGUAUCGCUUCUUUGUUAUUUAUUCUUCUCCAUUUUUUCUAGUCUUGAACUCCAUUGUUUUUGUUUUCAUUUUCUGAAACUCAUCUUGGUUGACUUUUUAUACAUAUAAGCAUGUAUAUAGAUUCAUGUCUGAGAUGUUAUAGUUUUCUUUGUGCUUAACAGACCUCCUUCCCUAUAGAAGACUUAUAUCUUGAUUUUUCUAUAUGUUUGCCUAUUUUUUUUCUUUCUUACUAUUAAAAUGCUUUCCCCUGUUUAGUUAAAAGGGCUGAUUUAGGCUUAUCUUUUUUUUUCUAUUUCUCCUCCUUUUCAGCGUAUAUCCAUAGUUUGUCGAGUGUAUUUGCUGCCUGCUUAUUUAACCUGAAGCUAAGUGUUUAUAUUAAUUUUGUUUGUCAUAUUUCCUUCCCCAUUUUCUUUAUCUAAAACGAGCUAAGUCUUGAAGGGAUAGGAAUCAUGUGUUGUUUACAAUGAUCCGUUUUCUUCUUAAGUUAUUAACUUUUCAUUUUAUGCAUAUAUAUUUGUCAUAUUAUAGUAAGUUUGUUAGUCCCUUUUAAAAAAAUGCAUAUCCAUAUUUCUUCCGUUGUGUUGCUUUUAUUUCUUAUUUGUGAUAAAACUCAUUGUUUGUUUAUCCAACACCCUAAUACAUUAAUUGAAUAUGAUUUCUUUUGCUGUCUUGGUUUAUUGGUCGGAGGGUGUCAGAAUUAUAUUUUCUAGAUGUAUUCUUUUCUCAAGGUAACUCAAUUUGAGCUCAUUAAUUUAUUUCUUCUUUUCUUGUCGUAUGUGAAAUUCAUUCGAGUUCAUUUGGACUUCGCUCCCUGCUCUAUUUGUUGGUAACAGAGCUUAUACGUGACAAAUUAUUUGAGUUUCAUAUUUUGUUUGAGUCAAAAAUCACUUAAAAAUGCAAUGAUGUCCUAUCUUUUAGUGCUAUCGGUGCGUGGGUUUAAACCCUUUGGUAAGUUUACAUCAUUUCUUAGUGUGCUCCUAUUAGAACAUGGUAGAUAUAGCCUUUAGAAUAUGGUAGUGUGAAUUCUGUUUUAUUUGGGUGUUUUCUUACAUUAACUACAACUCUUACUUACUGUUUCUUUUGUGUUUUGCAUGUGAAAUAUGACCGGGUCCUCAUGGACCAUUAUCUAUGCAUUUUCCUAAUGGAACACAAAGGCUCAAAUCUCCAUAUCAGUUAGUCUAUCAAAAUGAAAAAUAAGUUACGGAAAAGGUGAACAGGUCUAGAUUUGAAAAAUACGCGCAAAUGAAGAAGUCGAAGAUUUGAAGAAGUUAUUCAAAAAUAUUGUAUUUUGUUAUUUUUGGGCCUAAGCCCUUUUGUAUUAUUAUUAUCUUGUUAGUUUAGGACAUGUAAAAAUCGAAUGGGCCUAAGACCCAAAAGAAAUGGGUCCAAAAACCGGUUCAGGAGGACAGAAAUCGGAUUUGGACCUCUCUCUCUC